rnacentral:rRNA from 1 species
CUAUCAUGCAGUCGAGCGAACAGAAGGGAGCUUGCUCCCGGAUGUUAGCGGCGGACGGGUGAGUAACACGUGGGUAACCUGCCUGUAAGACUGGGAUAACUCCGGGAAACCGGAGCUAAUACCGGAUAGUUCCUUGAACCGCAUGGUUCAAGGAUGAAAGACGGUUUCGGCUGUCACUUACAGAUGGACCCGCGGCGCAUUAGCUAGUUGGUGGGGUAAUGGCUCACCAAGGCGACGAUGCGUAGCCGACCUGAGAGGGUGAUCGGCCACACUGGGACUGAGACACGGCCCAGACUCCUACGGGAGGCAGCAGUAGGGAAUCUUCCGCAAUGGACGAAAGUCUGACGGAGCAACGCCGCGUGAGUGAUGAAGGUUUUCGGAUCGUAAAGCUCUGUUGUUAGGGAAGAACAAGUGCGAGAGUAACUGCUCGCACCUUGACGGUACCUAACCAGAAAGCCACGGCUAACUACGUGCCAGCAGCCGCGGUAAUACGUAGGUGGCAAGCGUUGUCCGGAAUUAUUGGGCGUAAAGGGCUCGCAGGCGGUUUCUUAAGUCUGAUGUGAAAGCCCCCGGCUCAACCGGGGAGGGUCAUUGGAAACUGGGAAACUUGAGUGCAGAAGAGGAGAGUGGAAUUCCACGUGUAGCGGUGAAAUGCGUAGAGAUGUGGAGGAACACCAGUGGCGAAGGCGACUCUCUGGUCUGUAACUGACGCUGAGGAGCGAAAGCGUGGGGAGCGAACAGGAUUAGAUACCCUGGUAGUCCACGCCGUAAACGAUGAGUGCUAAGUGUUAGGGGGUUUCCGCCCCUUUAGUGCUGCAGCUAACGCAUUAAGCACUC